GAUGAACGCUGGCGGCGUGCCUAAUACAUGCAAGUCGAGCGAACAGACGAGGAGCUUGCUCCUCUGACGUUAGCGGCGGACGGGUGAGUAACACGUGGAUAACCUACCUAUAAGACUGGGAUAACUUCGGGAAACCGGAGCUAAUACCGGAUAAUAUAUUGAACCGCAUGGUUCAAUAGUGAAAGACGGUUUUGCUGUCACUUAUAGAUGGAUCCGCGCCGCAUUAGCUAGUUGGUAAGGUAACGGCUUACCAAGGCAACGAUGCGUAGCCGACCUGAGAGGGGGGUCCGCCACACUGGAACUGAGACCCGGUCCAGACCUCUACGGGGGGCCGGAGGAGGGAAUCUUCCGGAAUGGGCGAAAGCUUGACGGGGCAACGGCGGGGGAGUGAUGAAGGUCUUCGGAUCGUAAAACUUUUUUAUUAGGGAAAAACAAAUGGGUAAGUAACUAUGCACGUCUUGACGGUACCUAAACAGAAAGCCACGGCUAACUACGU
rnacentral:rRNA from 1 species